AUGGGGGAAACCCUGAUGCAGCAACGCCGCGUGGAGGAAGAAGGUUUUCGGAUUGUAAACUCCUGUUGAAGAGGACGAUAAUGACGGUACUCUUUGAAUAAGCUCCGGCUAACUACGUGCCAGCAGACGCGGUAAGACGUAGGUGGCAAGUGUUGUCCGGAUUUAUUGGGCGUAAAGCGAGCGCAAGCGGUUUCUUAAGUCUGAUGUG
rnacentral:rRNA from 1 species